rnacentral:rRNA from 1 species
AUUGAACGCUGGCGGCAUGCCUUACACAUGCAAGUCGAACGGUAACGGGCCUUCGGGUGCCGACGAGUGGCGAACGGGUGAGUAAUGUAUCGGAACGUACCUUUCAGUGGGGGAUAACGUAGCGAAAGUUACGCUAAUACCGCAUAUUCUGUGAGCGGGAAAGCAGGGGAUCGCAAGACCUUGCGCUGAUUGAGCGGCCGAUAUCGGCUUAGCUAGUUGGUGAGGUGAAGGCUCACCAAGGCGACGAUCUGUAGCGGGUCUGCGAUGAUGAACCGCCACAGUGGCACUGAGACGCGGUUCAGACUCCUACGGGAGGCAGCAGGGGAGAAUUUUGGACAAUGGGGGCAACCCUUAGCCAGCCAUGCCGAGUGAGGGAAGAAGGCCUUCGGGUUGUAGAGCUCUUUCGGCCGGGAAGAAAUCGUAUCAGCUAAUACCUGGUGCGGAUGACGGUACCGGCAUAAGAAGCACCGGCUAACUACGUGCCAGCAGCCGCGGUAACAC